rnacentral:tRNA from 1 species
GCGGCGGUAGCUCAGUUGGUAGAGCGUCAGCUUCCCAAGCUGAAUGUCGUGGGUUCGAGUCCCAUCAGCCGCUCCA